rnacentral:misc_RNA from 1 species
GAAAAAUAUAUAUGUUCUUCGUUAUGCAUACUCUGAUUGGUGCAUCUCAUAAAGAAGUUGUAGCCCAUCCAAGCAAUCAGCAAUGCUAGGCUUCAUCCCGACGUGUUGCUGUAGCUGUUUCACAUUCUUCUGAACAGAUCCCCCUUUUAUGAGCUGUCUACCAUCACGAACCAUCUUAUCAAGCGACAACACAACCACAUGAAACUUUUCCAUAGUUUCAUUCAUUGAAAGCAAGAUAUUUUGUAGAGAAUUCAUCUGUUUCAGCAAGACAGCUUCCUGAAUGGCUUCAACACAUGUCAAAGCACCAUAGUUCUUAGAAUCCUGAAGAAUCUGUAACCUCUGAAUGAUGGAAGAAGCAUUGUUGAAUUGAGAUAGUAAUCGAGAUUGUAGCUCAUUCCACUUCUCCAUCUCUUCCUUCACUUUCCUGAAUCUCUGCUGAUACUUUUUAAUUAUAACGUCCAUCUCCAAUUUACCCAAACCUAACCUAUCAAUAUUUAAUCAAACAAUUAAAAAAAAAAAACCUAUAA